UGGGGAAUUUUGGACAAUGGGCGAAAGCCUGAUCCAGCAAUGCCGCGUGUGUGAAGAAGGCCUUCGGGUUGUAAAGCACUUUUGUCCGGAAAGAAAUCCUUGGCUCUAAUACAGUCGGGGGAUGACGGUACCGGAAGAAUAAGCACCGGCUAACUACGUGCCAGCAGCCGCGGUAAUACGUAGGGUGCAAGCGUUAAUCGGAAUUACUGGGCGUAAAGCGUGCGCAGGCGGUUUGCUAAGACCGAUGUGAAAUCCCCGGGCUCAACCUGGGAACUGCAUUGGUGACUGGCAGGCUAGAGUAUGGCAGAGGGGGGUAGAAUUCCACGUGUAGCAGUGAAAUGCGUAGAGAUGUGGAGGAAUACCGAUGGCGAAGGCAGCCCCCUGGGCCAAAUACUGACGCUCAUGCACGAAAGCGUGGGGAGCAAACAGGAUUAGAUACCCUGGUAGUCCACGCCCUAAAACGAUGUCAACUAGUUGUUGGGGAUUCAUUUCCUUAGUAACGUAGCUAACGCGUGAAGUUGACCGCCUGGGGGAGUACGGUCGCAAGAUUAAAAACUUAAAGGAAUUGACGGGGUCAUAGCUGUUUCCU
rnacentral:rRNA from 1 species